UGGGGAAUUUUGGACAAUGGGCGGAAGCCUGAUCCAGCAAUGCCGCGUGUGUGAAGAAGGCCUUCGGGUUGUAAAGCACUUUUGUCCGGAAAGAAAUCCUUGGCUCUAAUACAGUCGGGGGAUGACGGUACCGGAAGAAUAAGCACCGGCUAACUACGUGCCAGCAGCCGCGGUAAUACGUAGGGUGCAAGCGUUAAUCGGAAUUACUGGGCGUAAAGCGUACGCAGGCGGUUUGCUAAGACCGAUGUGAAAUCCCCGGGCUCAACCUGGGAACUGCAUUGGUGACUGGCAGGCUAGAGUAUGGCAGAGGGGGGUAGAAUUCCACGUGUAGCAGUGAAAUGCGUAGAGAUGUGGAGGAAUACCGAUGGCGAAGGCAGCCCCCUGGGCCAAUACUGACGCUCAUGCGCGAAAGCGUGGGGAGCAAACAGGAUUAGAUACCCUGGUAGUCCACGCCCUAAACGAUGUCAACUAGUUGUUGGGGAUUCAUUUCCUUAGUAACGUAGCUAACGCGUGAAGUUGACCGCCUGGGGAGUACGGUCGCAAGAUUAAAACUCAAAGGAAUUGACGGGGUCAUAGCUGUUUCCU
rnacentral:rRNA from 1 species